rnacentral:rRNA from 1 species
GAUGAACGCUAGCGGCGGGCCUAAUACAUGCAAGUCGAACGGGAAAGGUGGCAACACCUUGAGAGUGGCGUACGGGUGCGUAACGCGUAUACAACCUGCCUGUUACACGGGGAUAGCCUUGCGAAAGCGAGAUUAAUACCCGAUGGUACUAUUGAGCGGCAUCGCUUGGUAGUUAAAGCUGAGGCGGUAACAGAGGGGUAUGCGUCCCAUUAGCUAGUUGGUAGUGUAACGGACUACCAAGGCGACGAUGGGUGGGGGUUCUGAGAGGAUGAUCCCCCACACUGGUACUGAGAUACGGACCAGACUCCUACGGGAGGCAGCAGUAGGGAAUAUUGGGCAAUGGACGGAAGUCUGACCCAGCCACGCCGCGUGCAGGAAGAAGGUCCUCUGGAUUGUAAACUGCUUUUCUUGGGGAAGAAAACCCUUCUGCGGAAGGAAUUGACGGUACUCAAGGAAUAAGCAUCGGCUAACUCCGUG